UCAUUUCAGUUUGCAGUACGUCAGCAAAAUCAAACCUUCUGAUCUGAUCAGUAGUUGAUAUAAUUAGAAGGCACAAUAAUGACCAAAUUUGUCAUACUAGUACACUGCAUAGAAGUAGGCGAGCAAGACUUGUUGUAAAAAUAAUUUACUCCAAACACUACGAAAAUAGCAUUCAGCGGCUCGAAUACACGGAUAAACAGAAUAAAAUUGUCAUUUCUUUUUUAUACAUCAAGCAUCAGAG
rnacentral:lncRNA from 1 species